GUUCAUGUUUGGGAAUGCAUGUAAGAAUUAAAGAUUUUAAAAUUAAAAAUAUAAAACCUAAAAAAAAAAUUAAAAAAAAUAAAUUUUACACAGAGGGGUUCAACAGAGAGCACAUUUCAGGAACUCCUUUUUCAUCUUAAAGAUUCUUUCAUGAGUUGAAUCAUUUUCAUGUCAUGAACACUGUUGGGCUCUCUGCUGUUUCAGGGACUAAUGCAGUUUGGUUAAAUAACAUUAACUCGGUGUUCCCAAAUGGAAUCUGAUAAUUAUUCCCCCUCUGUCAGAUGGUGACAGACAAAAUUUCUUGAGGGAAGUUAUAGCUCUGAUCCUGGUCAAUAGAUUUUGCCAAUUAUUUGUUUUGUCUUGUUCCUGAUAUGAUUAGCUAGUAUAGUUAUUAUUGUGAAUUUGGGACAAAGAAAAUUUAGGAUUCUUAAGAUAGCAAAAGGUGAAACAAGCAUUUUAAACACAAUCUGUUUUUAUGUGCCUGCUUGUGUUUCGUUAACAUCUUGUUUAUUUUUGAGACUAUGUGGAGGUUGCUUCCUCUCAUUCAUUAUAGAAGUUUAUGAUUUAUCUCAUUCCCCUCCUUGCUCGGAAAGAAAAGUGAAAGCAGCUACACUGGGAAUUAGAACUGUUAUCAGUCUCCAAACAUUUAAUUAAACAAUGCAUUUGGUUACUUCUAAUCAUGCUGCAUUAAUCUUAGUUUUGCCCUUACAUCAGUCAGGCAAGUCUAGGCUAUAUUGUAGUAAUAGACAAACACUAAAAGGCUAAACACAGCAAUGUUUGUUUCUCACCAGUGUCCGCAGCCUUUGUUCCCCGGGUUCCCAUGUGUCGAUGUGUCCCAGUGUGUGCAAGAGCCUCCCUUCUGGGGUAUCCACACGUGCCCAGGCAGGAGAAGGAGGCUGGCUACUCGAGUGCACCAGCUUUUAAGAGUCCUUCGUUUAUUUGUCUUUCUCUUUCUGAUUUACGUUACUCAGUAUGAUGAUCUAAAUAAUAUUUUUAAAAGGAAAUGUAUACAUAUGUAUAUCUAUAUGUAUAAUAGAAUUAGUUUGCAGUAUAGCAGUACUUCAUACAAUGUUGUACGUCAAUUAUACUUCAAUUAAAACAGUUCUAUCAUUUUUGAUGACUCAGAUGGUAAAGAAUCUGCUUGGAAUGCCCUGGGUUGGGAAGAUCCCCUGGAGAAAGAAAAGGCAACCCACUCUGGUAUUCUUACCUGGGAAGUCCCGUGGACAGAGGAGCCUGGCUGGCUACAGUCCACGGGGUCACAAAGAGUCAGAUAUGACUGAGUGACUAACAACAAUCAGUUUCGAAAGGUCAAAACACAAGCCUUGCCUUAAAAGUGACACAUCAUGUGUUGUUAUAUAGCAGUCACAUGGCCCCUAACUUCACGGAAACUAGAAAUUAGGAGGAUUACCUGGCUGCGCAAUGAGAAAUAAACGUCUCAGCCCCAGAACCCCAAGUGCUGCUCUCCAAUUUUACAAAGAAGCAUACAAGAAACGGAAAAGUUCUACAGGUAGUUUAAGGACAAUAGAUGUUUUCAGUUGUACUUUCGUCACUAUCAGGUGUCGCAGGGCACCACUUUGCUGGCUGUAUGAAUAAUUGAAUAUCAGUCCUUUUUUAAAAGCUGAAUCACAAGGAAGUAAAGCAAGAAAGUACUAAUAAACGCAAAAGUAUAAUUGAGGUUUCCUUAGUAAACAGCAAGCACAUGCUUGUGCGGAAGGAGCAAUGGAUGAAAAGCUGGUUUCUUUUCCUAGCUCUUUUUGCAUUCAUAAAAAAGGGGAAUGAAUAAAUUAAUGAAUGAACCACCGAUGUAACCAGGUAAAGUCUUUGCUUGCCUGCCUCCUCAUCUGUAAAACAAGGAGCUUGAUUACAUUUUCUGUGUCUAAACUUCUAUUAGGUGCAGAAUUUUAGUAACCCAAACUUCAAAGUCUGUAUCAAUUUAUUUAAGCAAUCAUUCUCAUCCUUGGAACGGAGGUCCCUGCAACCUUUUCAGGAUCUUUAUUGAUAUUACAAUGAUGAAUGUUUGUCAUUAUAUGUUUGCCCAAACCCAUAGAAUGUACAACACCAAGAAUGAACCCUGUUGUAAACUAUAGACAUUGGAGGAUAAUGAUAUGUGUGGUAAAAUAACGUACCAUCUGGUAAGUCAUGUUGAUAAUGGGGGAGGCUCUGCAGGUGUGUGGGUAUGGUUAAAUAGGAAAUCUCUGCAUCUCCUUCUCAAUCUUGUUGUAAAUCUAAAACUGCUCCCCAAAACAUAGUCUUCAAAAAAUGAACACUAAUCACAUUGGAUUAGGACCCAACCUAAUGACCUCAUUUUAACUUGAUCAUUUCUAUAAGAUUCGAUCUCCAAAUAAGGUCAUAUUCUGAGUUACUGGGGAUUAGACUCCAGCAUUAGUUUUUGAAAGGGGUUUUGGAAGGGACACUAUUCAACCUAUAACAGCAUGCAAAAGCACAUAACUGUCAACUGGCAGGAUUCUGUUCUCUGAUUUUCUAACUUUCAGUUCAACGCAUUUUCUGCCAAAGUGGUGUUUCUUAAAAUAUGGAUCACAUUUGUCAGAACUAAGAAAAUGCAGAUAUGUCUGUAUGUGCUAAAAUGCAUUUCAGGUUUCACCUCAGACCUCCUGAAUCAAAAGAUGAGUAAGAGACUCAUACAGACAAUAUAUCUUCACAUCUAAUAAUAACUUGUUCUUUAUUGCUAAAAUGCUUUUUACAGCAAUUUUGAAGUGUACUCUUGAAGACAUACAGAGAGGAGAUUAGGUAUAAAUAGUUGUAUUGAAUAAUUAAUCCAGAUUUCUCUCUAGAAGUAUAUAUUAUUUAUAAAAACUAUUUCAGGUAUGUUUUUAAUUUUUAGGAUUUCCUUCAACAAACAUAAAUUGAUUUGAGUUCUUCAGCAGUUAAACAUGUAAACUCACAGUGAUAGUUGGGGUUCAAAAUCUCUUACAGACUGAAAUCUGUCUUUUAGUUCUGUGGGAUGCUAUCAAUCAAUACUGCAUAUAAGCAAAGCAAUUGGCUCAGUAAAAUCAUAGCACACAUCUCAAACUGUACACAUAGUAUUAGAGCAUCAUUGAUCUCAAUCAAUAUUACUUACCAAAAUGCAAUUGGGUCAGCUAAAAUUGUUAACAGAAAAUAACUUAAAGCCCUGUAUAUGCUAUUUGGGUUACACUGAUUUCUAAAACCGUCACAUUGAUCUCUACACCCAUCACUGGAAUCAGUUUGGUACCACAUAUCUUUUGCAAUCAAAUCAGUUAUUUGUUGACUGAGAUUUUCAUAUACAGUGUAGCUAUCAAGAAGAAAGCAUGAAAAAUGUAUUUCUGAUGGAAACUUAUUCUGGGGGUUGACACAUAGGGGACUCAAAUGUGACCAAAAAGAUUAGUAAUAAUAACAACACACCUUUCUCCUUUCUGGCGUGUGUUUUGCAAGUCUCAUUAUUCCUUGCAGGAGCCAAAUUACUUUCAUCCUUGCUCCUUAUCCCUAAAUUUGGAACCAACUAACGUGAUUGAAAAUGGCUCAAGCUAUCUCUCUUGUUGGGUUUUUAGAGGAAUAAUUAAUGAAUAUAAAAUGCUCAGGAAAUUUAAUGUGCUAUUUAAGUACUAAACAAAACAAAACAAAACAAAAAACCAAGAAGAAUCCUUUGGUACUUAAAAGAUCUAAUCGUCACACUAGACUAAAAUUCUGUUUUCCUUUAGUAGAAUAUGGUUGAGUAUUGAUGGAGUCUUCCAAAGACUCCAGUUUUAGUACACUUUUGACAUGCAUGUCUGAAAGGCAACCCUUCAAUAACCAGUAGACCCCAUCAGAACCAUUUUUAAAUAUAUCCAAUAACAACAUUAAUACUAUGAAAAACUACUCAUCACCUUGGUCAUUUUAAAAGCAUUAGAUAUGGUGGAUGAUUUGCUUGCCUUUAUGCUAAGCUAUCUUUACAUUGUUGGUGUAUAUAGAAUAUCAGUAUAAGACUCAGUUUUUGUGUGUUUUAUUAGUGUAUCAGAGCAAGACACGUGGAUUGCUGGUCUACCACUAAAUUAUACUCAAUCUUUCUAGCCCUCAAUUUCCUAUACAUAGUGUGAAGAUUUAUAUCUUGCUUUCAGAGGUAUUGAAAAGUUUAAUUUAUGUUGCAAAAUUCAGUUUACUUCAUUUUAUGAAACUUUCUUCUGGGAAGCUAUUUAAGAUAGAUUAUUCAAGCUUCACAAAUCUGUUAUUUACUACACAUUUCAGAGGGAAUAUAUUAAAAAUAAUUUGUAUUUGUUAUAAAAUAUAAUUAAGUAGAUGUCCCUUCAGUUCAGUACAUUUCAGCCCUUCAGUCGUGUCUGACUCUUUGCAACCCCAUGAAUUGCAGCAUGCCAGGCCUCCCUGUCCAUCACCAACUCCCAGAGUUCACUCAGACUCACAUCCAUCGAGUCGGUGAUGCCAUCCAGCCAUCUCAUCCUCUGUUGUCCCCUUCUCCUUCUGCCCCCAAUCCCUCCCAGCAUCAGAGUCUUUUCCAAUGAGUCAACUCUUCACAUGAGGUGGCCAAAGUACUGGAGUUUCAGCUUCAGCAUCAUUCCUUCCAAAGAACUCUCAGGACUGAUCUCCUUUAGAAUGGACUGGUUGGAUCUCCUUGCAGUCCAAGGGACUCUCAAGAGUCUUCUCCAACACCACACUUCAAAAGCAUCAAUUCUU
ensembl:lncRNA